rnacentral:rRNA from 1 species
UACGGGGGGGGCAAGCGUUGUUCGGAAUUACUGGGCGUAAAGGGCUCGUAGGCGGCCCUCUCAGUCGGAUGUGAAAUCCCCAGGCUCAACCUGGGAAUGGCAUCCGAUACUGGAUGGCUAGAGUUCGGGAGAGGGAUGCGGAAUUCCAGGUGUAGCGGUGAAAUGCGUAGAUAUCUGGAGGAACACCGGUGGCGAAGGCGGCAUCCUGGACCGACACUGACGCUGAGGAGCGAAGGCCAGGGGAGCAAACGGG